CAACAGUGGAAGGAAUUAUGGAGCUCAGCAUCUGGAGUUGGUUUCAUUAUAAUGAUUUGCUGAGCUUCCCUGCAGUGUUCCUCCUGUCUCUAAGAUAUCUGUCGCUUGGAUGUUUCUCCCUCAAUUUUCCAUUACUGUUGACAGAAUUUAUAUUGCAUCUCCCUUGCCUGCUUUGCAUCCCUUGCUAUAUGUCUUAGGUAAAAUGAAAAAUGUCUGAUCGAGAAACUGUCUUCUUGCUGAAACAGCCAUUAUUGAUACAAGAUCAGACUCUGUACUGGGGACAAAGAAUAUAAAUGACUGUUAGAGAUUGAUUAUACCUUGGGGUUGCUGGGAAAGCUGAUGAAUCACACUUGAUUAUUAUUUAUUAUGAUGUUUAGAAAGGUGAGUAAAUAGUGUGAAGAUACAAUGCAUACCUAGUGAAAUAGUCUUCAAGGGAUUCUGAACUCACUAAAUAACAAGAAUGAUUAAAGUCGUGUGUAGUGGUCUUGAUAGUGUAUCUAAUGGGAAUCAGACUUCUUUCAGUGGCCUCAAAGUGUCAGUUUGUUGGCCGUGAAUGUAGAGGGAUGGGAAGACCUUGGCUUUUUGUGGAGGAGAAUGAAUUUGCUUAAAGGCCAAAACUGUUCAAAGGUUAAAUGAAUGCCAUCUUUGAGUCUUACAGGAAGUUAUUGCUGUUGCACCAGUGGUAGUUGUGUGUCUGUAUUAAAAACUGUCAUGUCAAGAGGUCUAGUGGAAUUUUCAUUUAGUUCAAUGUAGGCAGUUACAGUGGUGGAUGAGGGACCUGACUAAGAUCCAAGGGCUGUGUUCAAUAUGGGAGUCACAGUGGCACAACUGCGGCUAUGCCGCUGUUGUGUAGACGCUUCCAAUAUCGAUCCAGCUCCCUGAGCAGCAAUAGCCUUGCCUGCACCAUGGAUUAGGUCAGUUUAACUACAGCGCUCGGGGGUAUGAAUGUUUCAGAUCCCUGAGUGAUGUAGCUAGGUCAGUGUUUAUCUUAAGUGUAGACAAGGCUUUUGUUUGUUUCCACAUACUGAGGAAUUCUGAUAUCUUGCUAUAUUUUUUUUCCAUAUUAACUCUCUUUGUAAAACCAUGUUCUCUCCGUCCCCUUCUCUUUUGUCCUUUGCUGCCUCUGGUCAUGUAUAUAAAAUUUGUUCAGUGUAAUGAAAUUUGCCCUAAUUCCUUUAAGGUGUAUGACCUUCAUUUUAGAACUUGCCCCAUUCUUUUUGUCCCUUUGAGAAUUCCAUCCUUAAAUGCAGCUUUAAACUGAUUCCUUUCACAAACAGUUUCCCCAUUUUUCUGUGUUAUAUAAGACAUUUGUUUUCUCAAGCUCCCAGCCUGGGUUCUCAAACAUCCUCAUGGAGAAAACCACAACUUAAGUGUGUUAUCGCUCCUUGCCUUUGGAGUUGCAGGACAUUGUUGUAGCAACUAUAGCAAUUGCUUACAUGAGUAAAUAAUUUUAGGAAAGGACUAAAUCUAUUUUUUUAACUGUCCUUAAUGCAACAAAUGUAUUGUCUUUUUGAAAUCACUGUUUUCUCUUCUUUUUGUUAUCACACCCA